AACCAAGAUCUUACCAUGACUGCAAUUUUAGAGAGACGCGAAAGUACAAGCAUGUGGGGUCGCUUCUGCAACUGGAUAACUAGCACUGAAAAUCGUCUUUACAUCGGAUGGUUCGGUGUUUUGAUGAUCCCUACCUUAUUGACCGCAACUUCUGUAUUUAUUAUCGCCUACGUCGCUGCCCCUCCAGUAGAUAUUGAUGGUAUUCGUGAGCCUGUUUCUGGUUCUUUACUUUAUGGAAACAAUAUUAUCUCUGGUGCUAUUAUCCCUACUUCUGCGGCGAUCGGAUUGCACUUUUACCCAAUUUGGAAGCUGCAUCUGUUGAUGAGUGGUUAUACAAUGGUGGUUCUUAUGAGCUAAUUGUUCUACACUUCUUACUUGGUGUAGCUUGUUAUAUGGGUCAUGAGUGGGAACUUAGUUUCCGUCUGGGUAUGCGUCCUUGGAUUGCUGUUGCAUAUUCAGCUCCUGUUGCAGCUGCUACUGCUGUUUUCUUGAUUUACCCUAUUGGUCAAGGAAGCUUUUCUGAUGGUAUGCCUUUAGGAAUCUCUGGUACUUUCAACUUUAUGAUUGUAUUCCAGGCAGAGCACAACAUCCUUAUGCAUCCAUUCCACAUGUUAGGUGUAGCUGGUGUAUUCGGCGGUUCCCUAUUCAGUGCUAUGCAUGGUUCCUUGGUAACCUCUAGUUUGAUCAGGGAAACUACUGAAAAUGAAUCUACUAAUGAGGGUUACAAAUUUGGUCAAGAGGAAGAAACUUAUAAUAUUGUGGCUGCUCAUGGUUAUUUUGGCCGAUUAAUCUUCCAAUAUGCUAGUUUCAACAACUCUCGUUCUUUACACUUCUUCUUGGCUGCUUGGCCUGUAGUAGGAAUCUGGUUCACUGCUUUAGGUAUUAGUACUAUGGCUUUCAACCUAAAUGGUUUCAAUUUCAACCAAUCUGUAGUUGAUAGUCAAGGUCGCGUUAUUAAUACUUGGGCUGAUAUCAUCAACCGUGCUAACCUUGGUAUGGAAGUAAUGCACGAACGUAAUGCUCACAACUUCCCUCUAGACUUAGCUGCUGUUAAAGUUCCAUCUAUUAAUGGAUAAGGUUUUUCUGCUAACAUAUAAGAAUUUUUGAAGAAAGAAAAGACAGAAAUACCCAAUAUCUUGCUAGAACAAGAUAUUGGGUAUUUCUGUCUUUAUUUUGAA